rnacentral:ncRNA from 1 species
UAAACAAAAGCUUUGGUCCUAGCCUUAUUGGCAAUUUUAAUUAGACCUACACACGCAAGUUUCCGCUAUCCUGUGCGAAUGCCCUCAAAACUAUUUAAUCAAAAGAUAAGAGGAGCUGGUAUCAGGCACACUAAUAGUAGUCAAUUACACCUUGCUUAACCACACCCCCACAGGAAACAGCAGUGAUUAAAAUUAAGCUUUAAAGGAAAGUUUGACCAAAUCAUAAUAAUUUUCAAGGAAGGGUUGGUAAAUUUCGUGCCAGCCACCGCGGUCAUACGAUUAACCCAAAUUAACAAAUUUUCGGCGUAAAGCGUGUUUAAGCAGAAAUAUUAAAAUAAAGUUAAUACUUAACUAAACUGUAAUACGCUCUAGUUAAUACUAAAAUAAAUUAUUAAAAUAACUUUAACAAAGCUGACACAUGACAACUAAGAUACAAACUGGGAUUCGAUACCCCACUAUGCUUAGUCGUAAACUAAAAUAGUUCAAUAACAAAACUAUUCGCCAGAGAACUACUAGCUAUUGCUUAAAACUCAAAGGACUUGGCGGUGCCCAAAACCCACCUAGAGGAGCCUGUUCUUU